UGGGAGGCUUGGCCAGUCUCUUUUCACAUUUUUCUGCGUGCUUAUAUUCUAGCCCCACUGGCAGCUGAUUAGGUUGUACCUCUCUAGAUUAAGAGUGGGUCUGUCUUUCCAAGCCCACGGACUUAAAUGUUAAUCUCCUUUGGCAACAUCCUCACAGACACACUGAGGAUCAAUACUUUGCAUCGUUCAGUACAAUCAAGUUGAUACUUAGUAUUAACCACCUAUGCAAGCUAUUAAAGGAAAUGAUCUGAUUUGAUGAGCGGAAGACCAUGUUACUUGAUCUGGUUCAGCUUAGAUACUUCAUGUUAAAAUCUGAGAACUCUCCUUGAGAUCAGAGAUCUGUCUUCUGUGCCAGAAGCCACUGCUAAAGUUCUGACCUAAGUGAGUUUUCAAGAUAUUUUCUGAUUGCUUUCACUUUUCUCUUUCCUUGAAUAUCUGUUGCAAAGAAGUGCAAACAGGUCCUCUUACUGGACAGGGAGGAAGUAUUUGGAGGUGGGUUUUGAUGGAGGCUUUGAAGGGUAGGAGAUAAGAUGGCUGGGGCUAUGUUUAAAAAAAUUCUUCAAAGUUGGGGUAAUUGAGGAUGAUAGGAAGUCAAGGGAAGAGAAGUGAGGUAUGGGAAAAGUCAAGAGGGAACAGGAGGGUGGAGUUAGUGGAGGGAUGUAGAUGUAUUUUAGCCUAUAAACAGCACGUGCUGCAAGGGAUUGAAGGACAAGGUUGAAUCAUCCUAAGGAAAAUUUCUCUAGCAGGACUCAGAAGAAGA